rnacentral:rRNA from 1 species
GACAGAGGAGCCAAGCGUUGUCCGGAUUGACUGGGCGUAAAGCGCACGCAGGCGGCCGUGCACGUGGGGUGUGAAAGCUGGCGGCUUAACUGCCAGACGCCACCUCAUACGGCACGGCUCGAGCCCGUGAGAGGUCCACGGAAUUGCCGGUGUAGUGGUGAAAUGCGUAGAGAUCGGCAGGAACACCCAGGGGGAAACCAGUGGACUGGCACGGUGCUGACGCUCAGGUGCGAAAGCGUGGGGAGCGAACAGG